CUUUUAAUCCCUGCACUUUGGGAAGCCGAAGUAGGAGGAUCGUUUGAGCCCAGGAGUUUGAGACCAGCCUGGGCAACAUAGCAAGAACCUGUCUUUACAAAAAUUAAAAGAUUAGCUGGGCGUGGUGGCAGGUGCCUGUGGUUCCAGCUACUCUGGAUGCUGAGGUGAGAGAAUCACUUAAGCCCAGGAGGUCAAGGCUGCAGUGACCUGUGUUCACGCCACUGCACUCCAGCCUGAGCAACACAGCAAGACUGUCUGAACAGCAACAACAAACACACCAAAAAAACUAGUUUACUUCGGAAAAGGGACUGUCUAGGUCUUUGAAGGGCUGAUACAGGAUCUGAGCUGACACUGUUUCCAGGAGCCCUGAAGCAUCAUGGCCCUCUCAUUAGGGUGCAGGCUUAUGGAAAUCAGAUGAUAAGCAGAAUUCCCAACCCGAGUCCUGUGGUUACUUCUCUGGUCUCAAUGCAUACUUGGGAUGUUUUUACCUAGCAGAGGGCGGAGCGUAUACAUUGAUCCCAGGCCUUUGGUACCAUAUGUAAGGAAGCGCAAAGUAGAAACCUUUGAAACUCCUCACCCUACUGAAACCUUUCCAAGAUAGUAAGUCAGAAACAAUGCUGCAUUCCAGGUGUAAUUGCAGAGGUAUUUCGCCCUCAAAGACUUAUAAAGCAGUGGUUACCGUUUCAUCCCUUCAAUUAACCUGAAUGGCUCCUGCUAAAUCUUGGUGGAUUCAAGUAAAUGAUGAUGCCCUGCACAAACUUAGCCAAGUCGUGUCCCCGAUCACACAGCUGUGCUAGGUGUGGUAUCUUUACUGGAACCGAUAAAUGCACCUCUGGCUCUUGAUAAUGCAAUUAUUGACUUGGUGAACAUUCUUUUCAAUUGCCAGUGGUAAAGAGGAUUAAAAGCAGUUCACAUUUAUAUGGGAAGGACAGCUCUGUAAAUGGUCUUGCUUCUUGCUGUCUGAACUCUCCUGUUCUCUGUCACAAUAGUCCUUAGGUAGCUUAUCAUCUAUAUUCCAUAUAACAUUGAUGAUGUCAUACUAGUUGGACAUGGUGAAGAAGGCCGUGCAUGUCAGAGGAUGAGCGAGAAGCCCUCAGAAGUUCUGGAGCCUGCCAUAUCAGUGACAUUCUCAGGGGUGCAGCGUUUGAGGGCAAGCCAGGGACAAGUUAUUGCAUCCUGCAUCCUUACAAGGAAGAAAGAGGCACAGCAUUGAGGCACCUCUGUGUUUUGGAGUCAGCAUGCACCGCGCUAGAGGAUACCUCUCUGACCCCUUUAUUGGGUAACGGGAAAACUGCCAGCUUUGAGUGGGGCCCAGAGAAAAAGAGGGCUCUGCUAAAGAUUUGGAUUGGGAGAUGGGCUUCCCUGCUGCAUAGAUCCAAUGGGUUACCGGGGGGCUUAUUUGGGGUAGGAAGGACCCUAUAUGGCAUCUCUGGCAAACUCCAACGGAAGAGUUGCAGUACACUGUCCUAGAGUUCUUGGACAAGACCAUGCCUUCUGCAGCAGAGAACUACUCGCCAAGUGAGAGCAGUAUCAGGCACACUACCAGACCCAGAGGAGUUGGUGAACAGCAGGAUGGAUGGGAUGUCAGUCAGCUGUGCCCCUGGCUACCCCUGUGCUUGAACAGUGGACUGUGAGUGGCGGCGUCAUGCAGAAGGAGCACAGGGUCCCAGGCCAGCAUCACUAUCCAGGAGCUUCAGGCAUGCUCCGUGUACCAACAUGGGAUCACGAAUCACAUCGCCUCAGGCCAAGAAAGCCAUUUUAUAGCGAAAGAGCCUUAGGAUCUGCUGGAUUAGAGCCUGUUUCCCAGGUAGGAACGCUUCCACGAGGGCACUCCUGCUGGUUGCAGGAAGGAUACCUCUGCUGAGCCUGAAUCUGCAAAGACCACCAGGUUACUCUCAGCUCCUCAUACUGGUGGACCAGCAGGCCACAAAGGAGGGGAUACUUGAUCCUGAUAAACGGUUAUGCUUGUUUGCUGAUGGAAAUGAUCCAGAAGAGAAGGACAAGUUGACGAUUGAGAGGGUUAAUGUCAGGAGAAGGAGUCUGGAAGGACGCUGACAACGGGUGGUGGUCAGGAAGGAAAACCCAGUGCCUGUGGCCCAGAGGCUGGAGGAGGAACUUCAAGGAGGGAUGUUCAGCUCCCUGUGGACCCCCAUUUGUUCAUCCAUACAAUGAUGCUCUGAGGAGCACACAAGGAAGGUGCAAAUUUGAUAAAAUGUGCAUGAUGUAAGGAGCAUAAACCCCCUCAGGAAAGAGUUGCUGCCUUUUCACUAAUGUAUCCCUGAGCUGCACAGAGCAGCCCUG
rnacentral:lncRNA from 1 species